AGCCAGCACAACAGUGACAGUUCUGACUCCCAAUGGAAGAAGACAAACCGUAAAAAUAUCACCAAACACACCUUUGCUACAGGUCCUCGAAGACGUCUGCAAGAAACAUGGAAUUAAUCCUGACGACUACGGUUUAAAAUUUCAGAGGAACGUUCUGGACCUGUCGCUUCAGUGGAGGUUUGCCAGCGUGCCAAACAAUGCCAAGCUGGAGGUGGUGACCAGCACCCGGAAACAGACAGGGACCGACAGCCCGGUGGGUGAAACUAGUGUGUGUGUGG